AAAAAUUGGAAUAGUCCAGUUGCUGCAAUAGUGGGUCCAGUUUGAUGAUGUAAACUGUGUUUGGUAUAUAAAAUAAAAUAUAACUAAAUACAUUGUUUGGAAAUUUUGAGCUUCUAAACAAUAUCUUCAUCUUCAUAUUAAGUAGCAUCUCAUAGUCAACAAAUUUCCCAUUGGAAAACUUCUUGUUAAUUGGAACCAAAACCUGUGACAAAAAAGAAAGAAAGAAAAAAAUGGAAAAGAGAGGCCAUGCAAAGAUGUAAACUCAAACUACAAACCUUCCGAUAGACCGCACCGUCUCUUCUCCUCAAAUGAUGAAUAAAAACGGAUGCAUGAAUAAAUUCAUAUGAGAACAUGGCUAUUUGAACGAAAGCCGGAAAAAAAAAAACAAUCAUGUGAUAGAAAACAAUAGUCUUCUGAUCGGUUGCAAAUAAUUUCUUCUCUUUGAAUGGUUUGAGUUGUAUGAAUGUUCGGCCAAAAAUUCUUUUUAACUGAUGAUGAUUGUAUAAAAUAAAAGUUUUUGUGAAUUAGAAUUUAAAGAUGUAAAAAAAAAAUUGUGUAAAUGAAACAGAAAAGAAAAUAUACAUACCGCUGCUAUGCUGCUACAAAAAUAAACAAAACCGAAAAUCGGGCUGUACUGUUAUGAAAACAUAGAUGCUCUGCAGAUGAAACGGGGUAAAACUAUACAGAUGAACAACAACAUGAAGUUAUCCUUUAAGUUUUAUACAACAAAAAGUUUUGACUGUUAUGCUGCUAUGAAAACGAAAGUGAAAGAAUAAUUUAGUCAUGAGAAAUAGAGCAUAUUAAAGAUCCCAAAGAUCUCUUUCACUUGGAUUUGGAUGCAAAUACUUAGCGGUAUUUCGCCGUAACAUUACAAUAAAAAAAAAUCAGGAUACAUUAAAUAUAUCAAACAAUAUUGUUAUGCAAACACAUAUACCCAUAGUGACGGCAUACAUGAACAGACAAUGUCAAAGAGGUUGAAACAGUGUGUUUGUAGAACCGCCUGGAAGUUAUGAGGUUAAAUUAGAAUUCUUGACAAUUUUUCUAGGUUGAGGAGAGAAGUUGCCUGAGAUGUCACAAAUCGUGUAUUUUUCUAGUGCUAUUGUAUGUACAGAGAAAAAAAACAAAAAAAAGCCGGAAAAAAGAAAAAGACAAAACCGAGAAAAUUAAAACAGAGAAACGGAGAUAAUUCGUUUGGGGAAAGAAAUCUGAAUGUUUCAAAGAAUGUAUUUGAAUAAUUGUUUUCAUACUUCCAUAUAUCAGCUAAAAGAUUUUUUCAGGAAAAAAAGAGAACAAAAAUAAAUUCGGUAAAUUCUAGAAAAACUAAACUUAAAACAAAAAUAGAAGUAUUAUGCUUGAAAAGAGUUUAUGUAGAAUAAAAAUACCAUGAUGAAUGGAAGCGCAAAAAACAACAUGCUGAGAAGGGAUAUGAUCGUCGUGUUAUGAAAUUGCUUCUUGUUUUAACAAACCUGGCCGGAAGUAAAAUGAACUUUGUGAAAUUGUGAACAAUUUAAACAUGUGAACAGAUUUCCGAGAGAUAUACCGCAACAAAACUCCAUAGUAAUACUUUAAACAAAAACAUCGAAAUCUUUUCAGAAAAAAAAAAAAAAACAAUCCUGUACAAUUGCUUCAUGUUCGUGAAACCUGUACGAAAAAACAACAAAGCAAAUUAAAAUUGACAAUACAACGAAAUUAUUUUCCUCAAUCAUCUAAACUCAUAAACAUAAACAACUUACGGUAUAUAAUAUAUAAAAUAUAUCUGAUAAAACCCAAAAAAAUGUGCCUAAGAAUUCACCACACCAUCUGGAAAAAGAACAAAACUCGGAUUAUACAGUUGAUGAUUUACAAAAGGAAAACAAAAAAUUAAAAACAAAAAAAAAUUGGUAGACAUUUUUUAACUCUAGCACAUCAACAAUUCUUUCGAGAUGACAAAAUAUAUCUGAAAAACAUUUGUCUUAAAUUAGGACACAAUAUUCAGAGCAAACAAAUUAAUUUUGAAAUGAAGAACUGUCAAUAGCUUAAGACAUUUCGGAUAAAGAGAUUGAGAGAUAGGAGAGGCCGAAAUUAUAUUCAUUGUUCAAUAGCAUCCAACAAUCCAGAAAGUAGCUUCAAUAUUCCGUCGCAGAGCAAAAUAAUUGGAAUGGCAGAGCAAAUGAAGUAAAUUUGAAAGGAAUAACUCAUAAUACCUUAAUGAACAGACAAAAGAAGCGAAAAUAUAUUUCCCAGCAAUCUGUCUAGAUAAAAAAAAAAAUUGGUGAUCCGAUUUCCGGAGAGCAAAAUAGCAGUUUCAACAUAAAGUAGCUCAAUUUAAUAGUCUGUAGGAGAUGAAGAUGACAUCGGUUUUUUUUUUUUUUUUUUUUCACAGAUCGUGGGAAAGAAGAGCAGUUCCAAAUUCUAAGGCAAAUAUUGGACAUGGGGUGUAUGAGAGACGGUUUAUA
rnacentral:lncRNA from 1 species